GACGAACGCUGGCGGCGUGCCUAAUACAUGCAAGUAGAACGCUGAAUGCGGAGCUUGCUUCUCUGGGUGAGUUGCGAACGGGUGAGUAACGCGUAGGUAACCUACCUGGUAGCGGAGGAUAACUAUUUGAAACGAUAGCUAAUAGCGCAUAAUAGUAGAUGUUGCAUGACAUUUGCUUAAAAGGUGCAAUUGCAUCACUACCAGAUGGACCUGAGUUGUAUUAGCUAGUUGGUGAGGUAACGGCUCACCAAGGAUACGAUACAUAUCCGACCUCAGAGGGUGAUCGGCCAAGCUGGGACUGAGACACGGCCAAGCCUCCUACGGGAGGCAGAAGUCGGGAAUCUCCGGCAAUGGAAGGAAGUCUGAAUGAGCAACGACGCGUGAGUGAAGAAUGUUUUCGGAUCGUAAAGCUCUGUUGUACGAGAAGAAUGAGUGUGACAGUGGCAAGUGCACACUAUGACGGUAUCUUAACAGAAAGGGACGGCUAACUCCGUG
rnacentral:rRNA from 1 species